rnacentral:rRNA from 1 species
GGGGCUGGCGGUACAUCGGCAGGUGAGAGAUGUAGGGGGCGGUCGGUGGCCGGUUUUAUUGGGCGGAAAGAGCGUGGUGACGGCCAUAACGGUGCGUGGUGAAAGCUCGAGGCUGAACGUCGGGGUGCCGAUGGGAACCGUCGGUCUAGAGUCCGGAAGAGGAGAUGGGAAUUCCUUGUGUAUCGUUGAAAUGCGCAGAUAUCAGGAAGAACACCCGUGGCUAAGGCGGCUCUCGAGUACGGUACUGACGCUGAGACGCGAAAGCGUGGGGAGCGAACAGGAUUAGAUACCCCAGUAGUC